UGGGGAAUUUUGGACAAUGGGCGCAAUCCUGAUCCAGCAAUGCCGCGUGCAGGAUGAAGGCCUUCGGGUUGUAAACUGCUUUUGUACGGAACGAAAAAGCUCUCUCUAAUACAGGGGGUGAAUGACGGUACCGUAAGAAUAAGCACCGGCUAACUACGUGCCAGCAGCCGCGGUAAUACGUAGGGUGCAAGCGUUAAUCGGAAUUACUGGGCGUAAAGCGUGCGCAGGCGGUUUUGUAAGACAGAGGUGAAAUCCCCGGGCUCAACCUGGGAACUGCCUCUGUGACUGCAAAGCUGGAGUGCGGCAGUGGGGGAUGGAAUUCCGCGUGUAGCAGUGAAAUGCGUAGAUAUGCGGAGGAACACCGAUGGCGAAGGCAAUCCCCUGGGCCUGCACUGACGCUCAUGCACGAAAGCGUGGGGAGCAAACA
rnacentral:rRNA from 1 species